AUGAAUAUCAAGAGUUGUGGAGCUGUUGUGAGCUUGAAGAAGUGGUCGGAGUCUGUGGGUGCCAAGGCUGUACUUAACAUUGCUUGGGUCAAUGUUAGCAACAUUCUUUUGGAUAAGAGACAUGAGAAGAACAUCGCUUAUGUGGGCUCUUUGGUUGGGGUGACUCUAGAAAUUGAUAAAUCCACUGUUAACAGACCUGUAUCUGUUAGAAUUAAGCUGGGAUGUAGAGAUGCUGAGGAUAUUCCUGCUAAGGCUGAGGGGGCAUUGGGUGGUCCAUUUUAUGACGUUUUUUUUUGCUCUGUGGAUAAGAUCUUAGUGAAAAAUCCCCCCAAAGAAAGAGUAGCUAUGCAACAAGAUGCCGAUGGGGGGGGGNNNNNNNNNNGGGGGGGGGCUUCUCCUAAAAGAGCUAGACUUACUACAGGUGGGCGACCUGAGGGACAAGGGGCCUCUUCAUCUACUAUGGGUGGUUAUUCUACCCCUUCCAAUUUGGUUGGGGGACAAAAAAAUUACCUAUGA
rnacentral:rRNA from 1 species